AUGCAAGAAAGGCUGCCGUUCUGCGCGAUCAGGCCGAGAAGAGGUAACGAAGCCAAUCAGACAACGAAAAUGGCCGUGCUUCUACUAUUGUCAACGCUGCUCAUUUCCUAUGGAGUUGGCACCAUCGAAUGCUCCACGGUCCCUGGUAACAGCACGGACAUGCUCUCGUUGCUAGAUUCCAAAUGGGCCAUCACCAAUGAUCCGAGGCAAGCAUUGAGCUCUUGGAACGCCAGCAUCCCCCAUUGCCAAUGGGAGGGCGUCAACUGCAGCCUGACGCAGAAAGGGCGUGUCACGGUGCUCAAUCUCACCUGCCAAAAUUUGGAAGGCCAGAUUGCUCCUUCUCUUGAAAAUUUAACCUUCCUUAGAAGUCUCGACCUCCGUUCAAAUGGCUUCUUUGGCCAGUUACCCACUCUUAACCGCCUACAUAAGCUGCAGGACCUUAUUCUGGGCAAUAACAUGUUGCAGGGGUUCAACCCUGACGCAAUUGCAAACUGCUCCAGCCUCCACUAUCUAGACCUUUCUGCAAACUCCCUGAAGGGUUCGCUCCCCACAAAUAUUGGUAUCCUCUCCAGCCUUCUGUAUUUGAAAAAAAGGGCAACCUGGUGCAUGUAG
rnacentral:rRNA from 1 species